rnacentral:lncRNA from 1 species
UUUGGAUGCUGAUCUAGAAUCCUUAUUUUUUUAAAUAUUAACAACCACCUAGCCCACCAACUUUGACCAUGGAAUAUAACUAAGUAGCCAGAUCAGUUAGACCAAAUAUUAAGUUUCCACACUGUCAUGCCACCACUCUACAUUGUUUUUUUUCCCUUCUUAUCACUUCUGUUUUCUUGAUUUCUCAUACAAAAUCAAUCAUCACUUCAAUGGAGAAAGUGAGUUUCAGAAUAGAAGUCCUCAGCAGACACCUAAGUCAAAAAACAUCAACUCCCAAGUAUACAUUCCAAUCAGUCCCAUGUCUUAGCUACAAGCCACCUGAGCUUUCAGAACCAUCUGCUGUUUUCAACAUAAAAGAGAUGAGAAAGCUCGUGGAUGGUCACAAUUUGAAGGAAAGGGAGUGGCUUUUUGGUCUGAUGUUACAAAGCAAUCUUUUUAACCCAAUAGAAAGGGGUGGCAAAGUGUUUGUUUCCCAUGAUUACAGUCAGUCUAAGGAACAACAAAGGGAAAUUACCAUGAGGAGAAUUGAGUACCUUCUUGAACAUGGGGUUUUCAAGAAAUGGUUUACUGGUAAAGGGCCUGAAAAUGAGUGGAGGAAGUUAGCUUUCUCGGAUUGUGUUGGCGUCUUUGAUUAUUCACUUAGCAUCAAGCUUGGAGUCCAUUUGACCCUAUGGUAUGUUCUUGUCCAUUGUGUGCCUAUUUUUAAUAUCCGGAAGUUAGUGGCCUAACUAAUUUGCAUACCUCUCCGGUAGGUCCCAACUAAGGGAGAAGUUAUCUAUUCUCGAGGCCUGAACUCGAGACGUAUGGUUGAGGGGGAGACAUUUGGUUAAGUGUGGCGUCCACUAAGAGAUAAGUUCUUCAUUCCCGAGAGUUGAACCCUUGGCCUAUGGUUAAGGGUUAGAAUUGUAGUUAAGACUUAAGAGGUUCUUCAUUUCUAAGACUUGGUAGAACCCGACUCUUGUGGUUAAGUGCAAAACUUUGGUUAAGUGUGAAGGGGGUCACCUCCAUCCCACCUCACCUCUUGAUGGUCCGAAUGAUAAAUUGCUAUAAUGGUUGUUGUUACUGUUUGUUUUUCACUCAAAUUAGUUGGGAUCAAAUAUAUGAAUCGGCUUUGUCUAUCUCAGAGAACUCAUAAUUCCACUCUUUUUACUAUGGUUGUCAUAAGACAUUAUUAUUGAAUAGGAAUAAGAAAGAGUAUAAGUAGACAUUAAAUUUUCCUGUACGGACAUUCUUGAUUGCUUGAUUGAUUGGUUAAAGAAAGCUUACUUGGCAACUUUAGACCACCCAUCUGUGGAGGGUAGGAUGUACGCAAACCCUACCCCUGCCUUUGUGGGGUAGAUAGUUUGUUUCCGGUAGACCCUUGGCUCAAAACAAAAGUUUUUUAAGCAAGGAAAAUGCAAUAGAAAAAUAGCAAAAUAGCAAGAUACAAAGCAAAUGAAACAACAGACGGUACCACACAUUGAAAAAUAAGAAACAAAGCAAAUGCUAACUAGUACUACCACUACUAAUAGGAGGGGUAUUAUAUAAUUUUUUGAAUUAAUUUAAAUUGAAAAGUAUUAUAUAAAUUAGAAAGUCGUUUGUUUACAUUGAUGGGAUGUAUAAGAAUAUUUCAUGAGAUCCAUUAUCCCACCUUUUGUAUGAAAUUGCUAAUUUCACCAUUUUGUACAAAAUUAUUUUUGGAGCUAAUCAACAUCUAUAUUCAAAUAUGUAUAAAUUAGAAAGUCGUUUGUUUACAUUGAUGGGAUGUAUAAGAAUAUUUCAUGAGAUCCAUUAUCCCACCUUUUAUAUGAAAUAGCUAAUGUCACCAUUUUGUACAAAAUUAUUUUCGGAGCUAAUCAACAUCCAUAUUCAAAUAUGAGACUGAGUUGUUGUUCGGUAGCUGGUUAGAAUUAUGCAGGUAUUAGCUAUUCUAUCCUCUACUCCGUAUAAGAUAAUACACCAAUUCCCUCAUAACUCAUACAUGUAUUAGUUACGAGUUUCUAAAUUGCAAACCAAACUUCAUAUUAGUUUUAAUCACGAAUAAUUUAUUUCCUAAUUAACUACCAAACAUUGUAUAACUUAUACAAAAUUUAAUAAAUAUAUAAAUUGCUUCUUUACUAGCUACCAAACGACGACUGAUUGUUUGUUAUUGUAGUUGUCAGUCAACUAUGAGGUAAAAUAAUCAGACAUUUUGAAAUUUUCAGCUAUUGAUGUAGCCUCUUUGGAUGCUGAUCUAGAAUCCUUAUUUUUUAAAUUAUUAACAACCACCUAGCCCACCAACUUUGACCAUGGAAUAUAACUAAGUAGCCAGAUCAGUUAGACCAAAUAUUAAGUCUCCACACUGUCAUGCCACCACUCUACAUAGUUUUUUUCCCUUCUAUCAUUUCUGUUUGCUUGAUAUCUCAUACAAAAUCAAUCAUCACUUCAAUGGAGAAAGUGAAUUUCAGAAUAAAAGUCCUCAGCAGACACCUAAAUCAAGAAACAUCCACACCCAAGUUUAUACUCGAAUCGUUUCCAUGUCUUAGCUACAAGCCACCUGAGCUUUCAGAACCAUCUGCUGUUUUCGACAUAAAAGAGAUGAGAAAGCUCGUGGAUGGUCACAAUUUGGAGGAAAGGGACUGGCUUUUUGGUCUGAUGUUACAAAGCAAUCUUUUUAACCCAAUGGAAAGGGGUGGCAAAGUGUUUGUUUCCCCUGAUCACAGUCAGUCUAAAGAACAACAAAGGGAAAUUACCAUGAGGAGAAUUGAGUACCUUCUUGAACAUGGGGUUUUUAAGAAAUGGUUUACUGGUGAAGGGCCUGAAAAUGAGUUGAGAAAGUUAGCUUUCUCGGAUUGUAUUGGCGUCUUUGAUCAUUCACUGGGCAUCAAGCUUGGAGUCCAUUUGACCCUAUGGUAUGUUCUUGUCCAUUGUGUGCCUAUUUUUAAUAUCCGGAAGUUAGUGGCCUGACUAAUUUGAAUACCUCUCGGGUAGGUCCCAACUAAGGGAGAAGUUAUCUAUUCUCGAGGCCUGAACUCGAGACGUAUGGUUAAGGGGAAGACAUCUGGUUAAGUGUGGCGUCCACUAAGAGAUAAGUUCUUCAUUCCCGAGAGUUGAACCCUUGGCCUAUGGUUAAGAGUUUGAAUUGUAGUUAAGAGGUUCUUCAUUUCUAAGACUCGGUAGAACCCGACUCUUGUGGUUAAGUGCAAGAUCUUUGGUUAAGUGUGAAGGGGUCACCUCCAUCCCACCUCACCUCUUGGUGGUCCGAAUGAUAAAUUGCUAUAAUGGUUGUUGUUACUGUUUGUUUUUCGCUCAAAUUAGUUGGGAUCAGAUAUAUGAAUCGGCUUUGUCUAUCUCAGAGAACUCAUAGUUCCAUUCUUUUUACUAUGGUUGUCAAAAGAUAUAAUUUUUGAAUAGGAAUAAGAAAGAAUACAAGUGACAUUUAAUUUUCCUGGACGGACAUUCUUGAUUGCUUGAUUGAUUGGUUAAAGAAAGUAUGCUUGGCAACUUUAGACCACCAGUCCGUGGAGGGUAGGAUGUACGCAAACCCUACCCCUGCCUUUGUGGGGUAGAUAGUUUGUUUCCGUUAGACCCUUGGCUCAAAACAGAAGUUUUUUAAGCAAGGAAAAUGCAAUAGAAAAAUAGCAAGAUACAAAGCAAAUGAAACAACAGAUAGUACCGCACAUUGAAAAAUAAGAAACUAAGGGAAUGCUAACUAGUACUACCACUACUAAUAGGAGGGGUAUUAUAUAAUUUUUUGAAUUAAUUUAAAUUAAUAAGUGUGAUAUUAAUUAGAAAGUCGUUUGUUUACAUUGAUGGGAUGUAUAAGAAUAUUUCAUGAGAUCUAUUAAUCCCACCUUUUGUAUGAAAUUGCUAAUUUCACCAUUUUGUACAAAAUUAUUUUCGGAACUAAUCAACAUCCAUAUUCAAAUAUUCUAAUACGACACUGAGGAGUUGUUCGGUAGCUGGUUAGAAUUAUGCAUGUAUUAGCUAUUCUAUCCUCUACUCCAUACAAGUUAAUACAUCAAUUUCCUCAUAACUUAUACAUGUAUUAGUUACGAGUUUCUAAAUUGCAACCAAAUGUCAUAUCAGUGUUAAACAUGAAUGACUUAUUUCCUAACUAACUGCCAGACAUUGUAUAACUUAUACAAAAAUUAGUACAUGUAUAAAUUGCUUCUUUACUAGCUACCAAACAAGCUCUGAUUGUUUUUUAUUGUAGUUGUUAGUCAACUAUUAUGUAAAAUAAUCAGACCUUUUGAAAUUUUCAGCUAUUGAUGUAGCCUCUUGUGGAUGCAGAUCUAGAAUCCUUAUUUUUUUAAUUAUUAUUAACCACCUAGCCCACCAACCUUGACCAUGGAAUAUAACUAAGUAGCCAGAUCAGUUAGACCAAAUAUUAAGUUUCCACACUGUCAUGCCACCACUCUACAUUGUUUUUUUCCCUUCUUAUCAUUUCUGUUUUCUUGAUUUCUCAUACAAAAUCAAUCAUCACUUCAAUGGAGAAAGUGAGUUUCAGAAUAGAAGUCCUCAGCAGACACCUAAGUCAAAAAACAUCAACUCCCAAGUAUACACUCCAAUCAGUCCCAUGUCUUAGCUACAAGCCACCUGAGCUUUCAGAACCAUCUGCUGUUUUCAACAUACAAGAGAUGAGAAAGCUCAUGGAUGGUCACAAUUUGGAGGAAAGGGAGUGGCUUUUUGGUCUGAUGUUACAAAGCAAUCUUUUUAACCCAAUAGAAAGGGGUGGCAAAGUGUGUGUUUCCCAUGAUUACAGUCAGUCUAAGGAACAACAAAGGGAAAUUACCAUGUGGAGAAUUGAGUACCUCCUUGAACAUGGGGUUUUCAAGAAAUGGUUUACUGGUAAAGGGCCUGAAAAUGAGUUGAGGAACUUAGCUAUCGCGAGUUGUAUUGGCGUCUUUGAUCAUUCACUUGGCACCAAGCUUGUAGUCCAUUUGUUCCU